rnacentral:rRNA from 1 species
CUCCUUUGACGUUAGCGGCGGACGGGUGAGUAACACGUGGGUAACCUACCUAUAAGACUGGGAUAACUUCGGGAAACCGGAGCUAAUACCGGAUAAUAUUUCGAACCGCAUGGUUCGAUAGUGAAAGGUGGUUCUGCUAUCACUUAUAGGUGGACCCGCGCCGUAUUAGCUAGUUGGUAAGGUAACGGCUUACCAAGGCGACGAUACGUAGCCGACCUGAGAGGGUGAUCGGCCACACUGGAACUGAGACACGGUCCAGACUCCUACGGGAGGCAGCAGUC